GGCGAACGCUGGCGGCGUGCCUAAUACAUGCAAGUCGAGCGAGCGGAACCAACAGAUUUACUUCGGUAAUGACGUUGGGAAAGCGAGCGGCGGAUGGGUGAGUAACACGUGGGGAACCUGCCCCUAAGUCUGGGAUACCAUUUGGAAACGGCUGCUAAUACCGCAUAAUGCAUCGGAUUCGCAUGUUUCUGAUGCCAAAGAUUUUAUCGCUGAAAGAUGAGCUCGCGUCUGAUUAGCUAGUUGGCGGGGUAACGGCCCACCAAGGCGACGAUCAGUAGCCGGACUGAGAGGUUGAACGGCCACAUUGGGACUGAGACACGGCCCAG
rnacentral:rRNA from 1 species